AGGCCUACCAAAGCAAGGUUUCUCAAACAACUGUGGGGUGUUUGUUUUGAUGUUUUUAUACUACUUACACAAUUCAUACAUCAAAAACUCCUGCAGAGCUGGAUACUAAUGUGACAUGUUGUGACUUCUUGGGGGGGACGUCUUCUACAUCCUGAAAUAUAUUCCUGGGGGGUGGUAUUAUUAUUAUUUACUAUUAUCAUUAUUGUUGUUAUCAUAACUAUCAAACUUAACAACCUACUCUUUCUUAACUUACAGUACGCUCUGUACAUUGCAAUGGAAGCACAGUGUGAUUUCACUGAGCAAAUUAUGCGAUGGUGGUGCCUAGUUCUCCUGCAGAACUUUCCCAUGCAGUCUGAAGAAGAGAGGUUGAAAGAUUGAAAAAGGCGGCGAAAACAAAACACACUACAGACGAUACUUAAAACAAAAUGCACGGCGAACUGGGAGCUGUGAACUGGGAAGCAGAUGUUCUUCUAAGGGACACCCUAGAGACAGCAAGGUGGUGCGAAUGCCAAACAUGAAAAGGCACUGUUUUCCCUCCCUAGUGUAAUUGGGAUGGAUGGGGAAGACCGCAUUAACCCUUAAAGAACUACGGUUGUAUGAUGGCCUGGAUGAAGAGGAACAUUUUCUCCUCAAGGAGCCCUUCAUGUUCCAGAGAGAUUAUGAGAUGUUCUAUGUGACAAGAAGAAAAUGACUGUCUUUGCCUCUUUUGAGGAGGAGGAGCGAAGCCAUUUUUGAGGAGUGGUCAAACCUUGUUUUUGUCUGCUGUCUUAAUUGUUAAUUGUGUUAUGUUUAGUAAAGAUGAUGUAGAAGUCA